ensembl:lncRNA
UUGAUACAACAAACUCAUUUUACUUCCUCGUUUCGUUUUACUUCCUGGGGUUAUUGUGGGUUAUCGUUGCUAGCAGAACGGAACUUUGGAACUCUGUGUCGUUUUUGGGAAGUAACCUCUUGACGUCAGUGUUGCGAACUUAGCGACUUUGUCACUAUAUCUGGCGACUUUCUAGACCCCCUUGGCGACUUAAUUAGCAAAAAGCCACUAGCGACAAAUCUAGCGACUUCUUUUUGUCAUUUGGUGGAUUAUUGUGUUGACAAAGCAUUGAAAAAGCAUCUCGCAUAUCGCGUUCUGCAGUUCACGUUACAACCGAUCUCGAGUAGCCUACCUACAGCGAGGGCUGUCGUCGUCUCCUCUCCACUCACACAGCGCCUGCGCGGCCAGUCUGACUAGCUCUCAGCAAAAUAUUAGAACUUUGUAUUCGCGGGAAAAAUAUUAGAACUUUGUAUUCGUGCGCAAAUUGUACCUCUCUUAAAUUGCAUAUUAUGCAAAUUAGUUGAUUACUUCAUCGAGCGACUUUUGGGAGAGCUAACAGCUACUUUCCUUACUGAAAAGUUGGCAACACUUGACGUUCGCGUCGUGACGUUCUAAGCCUCGUUAAAGCGCUGGUUCAAGAAAAGAUUGAACUUAUGUGCAAGGCUUCGACUAUUUCUCUCCAAUGCAUCAUACAUUGAUUGCCAGCAAAGUGUAGAUAACUAAUAUAUCCAGCUUGUAGCCUAAGUUCCCAUGAAAAUAUAACAUAAGCCGAAUAUUUAUGUUGUUAAUAUCUCAUGUUGCCACGAUCAUUUCGCAAUACAUUAUAAAGGCAGGCAUGGCCACAGUCCUUGCAUUUGAAUGAAAAUAACUAGAUACGUGAAGAGUUUCUUUGCAAAAUAACACAAAUGUUUAAAAUGAACAAUUUAUUUUAAAGAAUAACAAAAUAAGAAUGACAUUUAAAUUUUACUGAAAUACUGCUCGUGUUUCCAGCCCAUAUACAUUGUUUUCAAAGCAUUUGAAUGUGGAGUGUGUUUAAUCUAAUAAAAUGCUGUUGGCAACAUGAUUGGACAGUGUAAUUGAUUGCAAGCUAACUAAGAUUUAGUUUUCAAGGUUUCACAUUUUCAGUGCUUAUUGGCAUGAGAUUGACAAAGACUGAUCAAACUUUUUGUCAUGAGAUGAAUUUAUUUGGGUGCUAGCCUGAGACAGGACAGGUCGAUGACUUUGGGCAUCUGGAAAAACUAGUAAUCUCUAUGAGACUGGGAUAACAUAUCUUCCCCGGUUUCUUUGUCGCCUCUGCCAUGAUGUCCAUGCAGAGAAUAUUGUGCUAGCUUCCUCUAAUAGCUAGCGCAAGGAUCUAGUUGUUGUUGGGUGAAGUGGUGCCAUAAAGCAUUACAUAGUUCUCGUGAGAGGUCUCGUGCCCUGUACCCCAAAGUUACAUAGUGCAAUACCAGGUGCAUCAGGUGUGCUGUGGCAGUGGCACUGGUGCCAUUCUCGGUGUACCACCAAAAUUAUCUCGAAGCUGUUAUUGAAGGUAAAAUUGUUGCAUAAUGUUACUUUAAUGAAUUAGGCCCUUGCUAAGCUAAGCCAUAGGUUAUCACAAUCAGCGCUGCCACCAUGCAGAGACUCGUAUCAUAUUUCCAUUGACUAGCA